rnacentral:rRNA from 1 species
UACGUAGGGUGCGAGCGUUGUCCGGAAUUAUUGGGCGUAAAGAGCUUGUAGGCGGUUUGUCGCGUCUGCUGUGAAAUCUCAAGGCUCAACCUUGAGCUUGCAGUGGGUACGGGCAGACUAGAGUGUGGUAGGGGAGACUGGAAUUCCUGGUGUAGCGAUGAAAUGCGCAGAUAUCAGGAGGAACACCGAUGGCGAAGGCAGGUCUCUGGGCCACUACUGACGCUGAGAAGCGAAAGCAUGGGGAGCGAACAGG